CAUUAGCAUAUUGUUACCAAAGCUGUGUAGGAGGAAACACCAUUCUGUAUUAACUUUUCCAAGAUGCAGUUUCCUGGCAUUUUUCUUCUACGUGGAGCAUAAUUGCAUUUUUAGUAUAGUCUGUUGCAUAUUCCUUCAGUGCACUUUCCGGUUUGCUUUCCAUUUCUCCUAAUUGGAAGCAGGGACAGACUUGAUCUUGUGCUUAAUUUUUCUGUUCGCUCCCACUUACAAGAUGGGCAAGAUGGCAGAAGGAUGAAUGAUUCUGAGGAAAGAGAUAAUAUCAUGCUGGAAGGGAUAUAUUGCACUGGUUACUUCUGACAACCAAGGCAGAUAUCAAGGCAGAGCAGGCAAGGGCCAACUCAACUGCUGUUCUCAGUCUAUGAAGCCAAGAAAAGUGAGGGUGACGAGAGGCUGCUGCCAACUCACUGGAGAUGGUGCUGACAUUGUGUGUGGACAACAGUUUUUAAGGCAUUGUCAGUACAGAAGCCAGGCUCUUCUUAUCAGAAACCAGAGAGAGUCCCUUUCCCAUGUCCCUGGCAACGACAUGCGGUGGCACUGAGUGACACCAAGGUCCUGGCUGAAACUACAAUAGUAAGUGACGCUAAAUGAUUAAUGUCCUUUAUUUCUUCACACAAACCAAACUAGAUAAUAUCCAAUCUCUCCAUUUCAUGUAAUCAAAAAACUGUACUAAGUACUUCAGUUUAGAAAUUAUGUCAACAGGUUUCUGGAAAUGGUUGAUUAGGUCUACUUUGGCAGAUUUACUGUCAACAUUGUUGCAUUGUGAUAUGAAUAUCCAGACCAGCCAAAGUACUUAAUUUGCUAGUGCUAACCAUUUUCCUCUCACUUUUAAAAAUAAUAAAUUUGCAGAAAUUAGGCUCACAUAGUACCUGAGAAAUAAAGUUAAUAAACUCUGAAAACAACCAUCUUCAAGGAGUAAUUUAUUUUGCUCUUGGUCUUUCAGUGUUUCAUACUUGCCUGGGGAUGACCAACAAUGUUAGGAUAUCUGUGUUUGAAGGAAGAAUGAUUAUUUGCUCAUGUUAUAGUUCUAUACCUGGUGUCUAAUUACCUCUUAAAAGAGACAAUAAAAGACUGGCAAUUCUGCCCAAACUUCACUGAUAGUCAUAUUGUACUGUCUUUGGUACCAUUGCCUUCUGUUUACUCAAGCAUGUAUCAGUGGGAGUGCAUGAGCUAGCCUAAACAAUACAAUUAUUUAUCAUAUAUUAUUUACUAUUACAUUUUUUCUCUUAUUGUGUUUUCUGACAGCACAUAAUUUCCUUCUUUAAGAGGACAAAACUUUUAGAUUAAUGACAAUAUACCAGCUGAUCUACUGUUGUGCCAAGCAUUAAAAGACUAAUAUAAAGGUAAGGUUGUUCAUUUAAGCAGAAAGGAGUUGCUUGUAGCUUUGAUGGAAGCCUGUCUUCCCGUACUGCCUCCAUGUGACAUUUCUGGCUCAAUUUUCUGCUUCUCCGAGUCUUCAGCGACAAUCCUUUCCUUUGACUAUUUUGAAUCACAAAGGAAGCUUGAUUAUGAAAAUUAACAGCAUGUCAGAGAAAGAAAUAUGGAGUUAUUAUGAUAUUCUUGGAAAAUAGAAGUAAUUUGGAAGCGUAUUUUCUAAAGUCUGAAUUCAAAGAUUAAACCCUCAACUGCCAUAAAGUAAGGUUAACUGUUAGUUUAAGGUAACAGUUUUAACUAGAGUAACUGCAUUCAUUUAUGCUAGCAUGAGUUGGCUCUGUGUUUUAGAAAGAAAGUGUGCUCCCAAAUUCCAGUGGAUAGUAUUUUAGCAAACACUUUGAUUCUACUCACUAAGCCCUUUGCAGCUUAGAAAGCUUGGGUCAUUCUAAAGUGAUGUUAGCUUGGCUGUGUCCUGGGGAUCACCAAUAAAAAUCAAUUUAAAGAAUGAGAAUAUUCAAUGCUCACAGGUUUUUUUUUCAACUCUGAGUGAAUCUAAAUCACUCAGAUUUUCAGCAAAAGGGCUAAUAUGCUAGAAGGACCAAGAGGUUAUUGUAAAGGUGUACAAUAUCAUAGUUAUUUUACUUAUUUAAAUGUACCUUGGCAGCAAAACUAUAGUAUCUGGCAGCAUUUAGAAAGCAAUCUUGAACUGAUAUAAAGUGGCAUGCUUACUACUGCUUUUCCAUAUUAAAGAGAAAAUUCUGUUUUUGAAAGAUGACUGUCAUGGUUUAACACAGUCAACAAAUGAACCUGGUAUAAAUGUUUGCUCAGUUCCCCCCUGGUGGGAUGGGAGAGUGAAUAAGAAGUACAAAAAUGAGCAAACUCAUGGGUUGAGAUAAAGACAAUUUAAAAGGUAAAGCAGAAGCCACACAUACAAGCAUAAAAACUGAGGAAUAAAUUUUUCGCUUUCCAUGGGCAGCCAGGUGUUCAGCCAUCCCCAGGAAAGCAGUGUUUCAUCAUAUGUAGUAGUUGGGAAGACAAAUCCAGAACUCUGAACACCUCUUCUUCCUCCUUCUUCUCUUCCCAGUUUUAUAUGCUGGACAUGACACCAUAUGGUAUGGAAUAUCCCUUUGGUCAGCUGGGGUCAGUUGCUCCAUUUGGAUUCCCUCCAAUUUCUUGGAUACCCCGGACCUACUCAUUGAUGGGGUAGUGUGGGAAGGAGUUAUUCCUGAGUAUGUAAGCACUGCUCAGGAAUAGCUAAAUAUCUCUGUACUAUCAACACUACUUUCAGCACAGAUCCAAAAUGUACCUGUAUACCAGCUACUGUGGAUAAAAUGAAUUAUAUCCCAGCCUGAACCAGCACUGACUCAAAGAAAAUUGCUACAUUCUUUGAUUCAGAGUGUGACGGUCCAAAGAGCAGCUGCCUUGUUCUAAUGUAUUCAGAAAUUGUUACAUUAUUUGUGAAAAAUAUGCUUUGUGAUAAAUUGUAUCAUUUUGCCUUUU